rnacentral:rRNA from 1 species
AUUGAACGCUGGCGGCAUGCUUUACACAUGCAAGUCGAACGGACUUGCGGGGCUUGCUCCGCAAGUUAGUGGCGAACGGGUGAGUAAUGCAUCGGAACGUACCGUGUGAUGGGGGAUAACUAACCGAAAGGUUGGCUAAUACCGCAUACGCCCUGAGGGGGAAAGAGGGGGAUCGCAAGACCUCUUGUCAUACGAGCGGCCGAUGUCGGAUUAGCUAGUUGGUGAGGUAAAGGCUCACCAAGGCGACGAUCCGUAGCGGGUCUGAGAGGA